rnacentral:tRNA from 1 species
UAGUAAAAUGCCUGAAUAAAAGGGUUAUCUUGAUAGGAUAAAUUAUAUAUGAUAUGAUAUUUUUACUAU